rnacentral:rRNA from 1 species
GUCCCAGCUUGCUGGGAUGGAUCAGUGGCGAACGGGUGAGUAACACGUGAGCAACCUGCCCUCCACUUCGGGAUAAGCCUUGGAAACGGGGUCUAAUACCGGAUAUGAGCUCGCAUCGCAUGGUGUGGGUUGGAAAGUUUUUCGGUGGGGGAUGGGCUCGCGGCCUAUCAGCUUGUUGGUGGGGUGAUGGCCUACCAAGGCGUCGACGGGUAGCCGGCCUGAGAGGGCGACCGGCCACACUGGGACUGAGACACGGCCCAGACUCCUACGGGAGGCAGCAGUGGGGAAUAUUGCACAAUGGGCGCAAGCCUGAUGCAGCGACGCCGCGUGAGGGAUGACGGCCUUCGGGUUGUAAACCUCUUUCAGCAGGGAAGAAGCGCAAGUGACGGUACCUGCAGAAGAAGCGCCGGCUAACUACGUGCCAGCAGCCGCGGUAAUACGUAGGGCGCAAGCGUUGUCCGGAAUUAUUGGGCGUAAAGAGCUCGUAGGCGGUCUGUCGCGUCUGGUGUGAAAUCCCGAGGCUCAACCUCGGGCUUGCAUCGGGUACGGGCAGACUAGAGUGCGGUAGGGGAGACUGGAAUUCCUGGUGUAGCGGUGGAAUGCGCAGAUAUCAGGAGGAACACCGAUGGCGAAGGCAGGUCUCUGGGCCGCAACUGACGCUGAGGAGCGAAAGCAUGGGGAGCGAACAGGAUUAGAUACCCUGGUAGUCCAUGCCGUAAA